GCGUAUACAAUCUACCUUUUACAGGGGGAUAGCCUUUAGAAAUGAAGAAUAAUACCCCAUAGUAAGUACUUAUGGCAUCAUAGGAACUUUAAAGUUUCGGCGGUAAAAGAUGAGUAUGCGUUCUAUUAGCUAGAUGGUGUGGUAACGGCACACCAUGGCAACGAUAGAUAGGGGCCCUGAGAGGGGGAUCCCCCACACUGGUACUGAGACACGGA
rnacentral:rRNA from 12 species